GCCUGUGCGUGUGACAGCUUUGCCAGCUUCUUAUCCAUCGCUCUGCUUCCUACGUCACGAAGCUGGCGUGAACAGCGUGAAAGCGCACACAGAACACUACAUUUAACGCUACUUUGGCCGACUUCAGCAGCUCGUGGACACUUCCGUGAUAAAAGCAUGAAUACAUAAAUGGCGGUGUUAAGACUAAGGCGUUUCUGCUUGCUUUGAUGGGUAGCCAGUCGGCAGGUUGCGUCAUCUUUUCGUUCGAGAUGGGACUCCAUGUUUUGCUGUACUGGCCGAAUAUUAUUGGAUACAUUAGAAUUGGCCUUGUACUUGCGGCAUGGGCUGCCUUUGAGACACCAGCAGUAUUUGUUUCUCUUUACUCAAUCUUCAUAGCACUUGAUGGAGUGGACGGCUGGCUGGCGAGGAGGCUGUGCCAGAGCUCAAGGUUUGGAGCUUGGCUGGAUGUUGUGGUGGACAACUUGGGCAGAGGCAUGCUGUGGAGCCUGCUGUUUAAGGUCUGAUGGCUGCCAACAUUAAAUACACACAGUAUACACACAUUCACACUAAUUGCGCACAUUACAUUGGGAUUACACUGGAUGCGGAAGUGCUGCAGGGCGUGACGAUUUUCCUAUUGGCCCCGCUGUUAAAGAGAUCGUUCCCAUUUUUUGAAGUGGGGUUGUAUAACAUGAGGUACUUUCGGUAGUCAGUGUAUUACUGUCUGCAAUAAUCUGCAAUAUAGUUUCAGUUUCUGGUCUAUUUUUUCCACAAGCUGUGAGUGAAUCUGGCAAAAAAACCACACUAAUAAUCUAUUCUGAACUAUGUCAAGGAUAUAUUACUUAGGAUAUAAAUGAUCUGAUUCUUAUUAAUGAUAAAAUAUCCACCCCAUGCUUAUUUAUACCACAUUUUGUCAAAUGUGUCUAAACAGAGAGCAAGAGAGAGACACACACACACACAAGCAGACGGAGACAGAGCUAUAUAUGUGAAUAGAAAAUAACAGAGGAGCAGAUCACUUGCUGACCGGCUUGGAGAAAUGUUCCUCUGGUAUAAACAGCCAGUGGAAUGCUCACAUGACAGUUGUCAUAUCACAGUGCUUCUGUGUCCAGUGGAAACAUGGCCUUAGGUUGUGAUGUUUGUAUACGAUCAUCAUCUAGGAAAACUUUUAAAAUGAGCUUCCCUUUUAAAUGUACAGUAGCUAGCAAUCACUCCAUCAAUUUGUUUGUCACAUGAAAUCAUAUGAAUACCAUUUCAGUGAUAUAUAAUCUGUCAGUUCCAGUUCCUGUUUCCUAUCCAGUGUCAUAUGAAAUUGUUGCACAUCUAAAAUUAACAUGACCUCACGUUGUGUCAAUCACAUUUGCGCACUGACUUCAAAAUUUUCAUCCAUCUUUUCAGAGUUUUCAGAACAGUUUGAUUUUCUGCAUUUUUACUGUAUCUGUCAAAAGCCUUUAGAGAGUUGUUUGAGUGAGAAGUGGUGAAGAAAAUGUGGUGGUGGAACACAUCUGUGACAAGAUAGAGGAACAGGUCACACAAUACACAUGGGGAGAGUGGUGACAGCCAGAUAGGUAACUCCAAGAGAAGCAAUGUCCUUUUUUCAUUUUAUCUUGUAUUGCAGUUUUUCUCACAGUAAAACAACAGUAAAUGCAUCAAACUCAGUGUGCAAGGUUUCUCUGUGUAACGUUUUUUGGUUUUGGAUGACAGAUUUAAAAAACACAUACCAAACAAAUGGACUCAAUGUGCAAAGCCUUUAGACAGGGUCUCAUAAGGAUUCUUGUGUCCAGAGGGUAGAAGCUCCUCCUGAGCCUCUCAGUGCUGCCUGCUGAAAUGGAUCUUUAAUGAUUCUAUUGGCCUAAUUUUUUGCAGUGCCUCGUGUAAGUACGUUUUAGUCAGGGUAGCGCAGGGGCCUGUUGCUCGAAAGUAGAACUAACCAAUCCAGGAUAAGUGGAAAAGCGAGGUUGGACAAAUUCGCCUAAGUCCAUCCUGGCUUAAUUGGUUGUUCGAAUGCCUAGCCAGGCUGAGGAGGCGCGGCUUUGUCAAGCCAGUUGUAACUCAUUCGGAUAAGUGUGCGUCCUUGGCUUUCUUAAAUAGACCCCGAGAUCGAUCACUGAUUCACCAAUGCAGCAAUGGAGAGGACGCGUGCCGCAUACCUCUCACCCAGUGAGCAGCGUCUCAUCAUGGACCCUUAUGAAGAGGUAAAACAUAUAAUCAUGAAGAAAGGAAACACUGCAGCGACAAUAAAGCAGAGAGAGUGGGUGGCAAACAAUUGCAGACCAACUGAUUGCAUAAGUAAUCUAAAAAUAUACACUUGCUGCGCACAUGAAUCUGUCAUAAUUAGGGUCCGGGCAGCUAAGCUGCCAGUAAUCCUAGGUAUUCUUCUUCUUCUUCUUUUUUCUUCUUUCUUCUUCUUCUUCUUCCGAGGAAAUUGUACUUCCCAUGGGUGAAAACUCACCAAACUUUGCACAAAGGUCCAGUCUCAUGCCAGAUAUCCUCAGCUGUAAACUCAAGCCAAUAGUCCUGAAAAACUUUGAAAAUUCAUAACAAAUCAACCAUACGUGCAACAACUUCACAACUUUCAUCAAACUGUAGCCCCAAUACUUAAGAAACGUUUGUACACUUAAACCUAUUAAAAAUUAUGAAGUUCAAAAACUGUAAAACUUCUUAAACCUAUCUCCUCCCACAAUUUUUGCUCAAUUGACACCAAACUUGCUACAGAGUAUCUUCAGACUGUCCUACAAAAACUAUGUUUCUCAGAUUUUUGAUUUAUCAAAAUUGAGCCUACAGUGCAUCAAAAUGUUUGACUGUCACGGUACUGUAAACAUAUACAUGCAAAUUCUUGCUAAAUAAAUCUUCAAUGUUCAUGAAAAUGACAAAAUUCAGGAGUCAUGGUAGAUGAUGUGAGUCAAUGUAAAAAUGGCAAUUUUAAACAUCAGUUUUUCACUUAUGAAGCAAAUCAAUCAUUGUUACAAACAAAUGACCAACAUCUCCAUGCUGUCUAGAUGCAAUAUGUGUAUUUUCAGAUUUUUGUCUCAAUAACUGAAUUUUUUACAGUGGUUUCAAAUAUGCCUUUCCAUGCACGGAUGGCUGCUUUCCUACACAACAGUGAAUGGCUUACUCAGUUUGUGAAGCCACUGUUGAGUUGCUACUUGCCAAUUAGCUCAGAGCGGUAGAUGACCAUCUUAGGUUCCAGAGGUUGUGGAUUCGAGCUUCAACUGGUGCAGAAUCCACAUUGUAAUAUAAACAUCUUCUUGUGCUCCAGCUUACUGCUUAAAAUUGCCUGAGCGUGACUGAUCACUGUGCAGCAUCUUCAAGUCUUUUUUCUGCUAGAAAAUCUGCCUUCUCAUGCUUGAAACUAAACCAAACUUUGCACAAAGAUCCAUUGUCAAUACUUCAGUGUGAAACUGUCAGAGGCUUCUCACUUUGCACAUAGCUCAACUAGUUAAACAUCAGUUUUCCACUUAUGAAGCAAAUCAAUCAUUGUUACAAUAAAUUACCAACAUCUCCAUGCUGUCUAGAUGCAAUAUGUGUAUUUUCAGAUUUUUGUUUUGAUAACUGAAUUUUUUACAGUGGUUUGAAAUCUGCUUUUCCAUGCAUGGACAGCUACUAAACCUGCACGUCUGGCUUAGUCAAUUUGUGAAGCUACGCAUGAAUUGUCACUGACUAAUUAGCUCAGUGAGAUAGAAACUGAUUCUUUGUCUCAGAGGUUGUGAGUUCAAGCUUCAGCUGAUGGAAAAGGUAGAUUGUGGGCAGCUACAGACUCUGUCCCACCCACAGAAACCGCCCUCUUCAUACAAGGUACAUUAUUCCAGUAUACUCUACAUGGAAUCAGUCAUUUUAUUCAUUCAUUAAUCAACCAUUGGUGUUAUGUGGACUGUCUGAAUUUGGAUUGUCUUGCAGUGUCAGGAAGACCGGAAGAUGAUCCAGUGAGUGUUAUUCAUUAGAGGCAUUUGCUUGACAUGUCUUGCAAGUUUACAUUAGGUCAAUGCAAAUUCUAAUUAAUGUGGCAGGGUGAAGGCACAUCUGCAGCAGGGGAUGCAGCAGAUGAGGAGGAGACACUUUCUCUGGACUCUAGAAGGUUUGAGGUAACCUGCCAGUCUUGUGGAGAUAAUUUAAUACUUAAUGUAUAAGAAGUCAGUGAUGUGGUGCUCAUAGAAAAUAUAUUUGUAACAGGACACAGAUGAACAGCCUGACAGCCUGCCUGGAAAUGUAGUGAGUAUUGCCUGAAGGACAUCCACGGUGUCCACAAUUGCUGUGCUAAUAGAUAUGUGUUUUACAGAAUUCACAAACUGUCAGACACAGGCCUGGAAUUUCGUCAUUUUAGGGGCAAGGCCACUUGGCCUUUCGUGUUGUCAAUUUUUUGAGGGCACAAAGGCCAAAAGCCAGGGCAGCAAGGCCAUACAAUAAAACAAUGAUUUUAAGUCCACGUCCAUAAUGAAUUUAAUUUAAGGACUAAGGAUGUAUAACUUAUCAGUGAAAUGAAUAAAUAAAAAAAGCUCAAGUAAUAAUACUGAGUAUAGUAAGUAACAAUGUGAUUUAUUUAAUAGCACUAAUAAACCCAAUGUGUUUUAAAUAUAGAACAACCAGGUUCAUGUAUUUAUAAGCAAACAAUCUUAAAUAUUAGGCCUAAAUAUUUUUUGAGUGUACACAGUGCAGUGAUUAAUUGAACAAGACUGGCUUACAAUUAUUUUGAUGUGUUGUUAGAUAGCUAACAAACAAACAAACUACAGCAGAACUAUUCAAUUAUUAUUUCAACUGGGCCGCAUUUCAAAACCAGAUAAUGUCGAUGGGCCACAUUCUUAGCAGCGAGCAACCAAUCCACGUUUUUUUUGCAUACAUAUAUAUAUUUAUAUAUGCAGGCAUGGCCCUCCUCAACAUGAUGCAGAAACAGACUAAAAGAGAGCUAUCAAUGCACAGAAGCAUAAUAAGUGACAUUAACAGUGUCUACCAACACACACUAUCUCUCUUCCAGCAUCGCCCUCUGCCCUCUCCCCUCCACACACACACACACACACACACCACACCACACCACACACCUCCUGACGUUUUCCUUACAGGUCAGUUACACAGUUUUAUACAGUCCAUGGCAGCAACAGUCAUGUUUACAAUAACAAAGUCACUAUUUAAAACCCAAUAAUAUCUGACUGGAAUAUAAAUAUUCCUCCUGACAUCACAAUACUGAGUGAAAAAAGUCACGUUAUCUAAACAUGAAGACAGACACCAGUAUCUGUCAUUCAUCCUGCUCUCUGUCCCUCCUCUACUGAGGACACUCGCUGUCCGCAGGUCGGCUGCCUCAGGUACAUGUUCAGAUAAAGUGUUAGCCUACAUACAGACAGCUUUCAUUUAGUUUGUCUUUAACACUUUGCUGUUAGCACCGCGAGUGCGAUGUGCUUGUGUCAACCGCGAUCAUAAAUCAUAAUAGCGGUGAAUGAGAGACUGUGGACAGAGCGGAUUGAAAUAUUCUACAUGCUGAUCACAUGUAUUGGCUUGGCUAGCAGAGGUUUUAUCGCACUUACAGUAACAAGCGUAGUUGUCGUUAACUAGAGUCAUCUUGAAGUUAUAUUUCCUUCACCUGCACCGCGGCCUCUCUGCUGUUGAGUUUGUGUGUGUGUGUGUGUGUGUGUGUGUGUGUCUGUGUGUGUGUGUGUGUGCGCGCGCUGUGAGGGGUGACAUGCAGAGAGCAGGAGAGAGGCUGCAGAAUGUUGAUGAAACCGAAACUUUAAAAAGUAACGCCGAUAAUGGCGGAGCUUACUAUUAUUAUGGCGUUGAUUGAACUUGCCUUGGGUUGUUUCAUACCGGGUCUCGGUACCGAUCCCUGCCUGGGCGUUUGAUGAAGUCUCCUGGCUGGCCGGUGAUAGACUGGUGUCAAACUGUCGUUAUAGCCUGUCUGAGCGGUUCAUGCCAGGCUCCAAUCAAACCCCCCACUGGUGAUGUAUGCAUCGUCUCAUUAUAUGUUUCUCAGUAAGAGUUCAGAAUGUCAUCGCAUUUUUUUUCUCAAUAGAUGCAGGUAUCAAAGCCGUGUUGACAGGAAAGAGGCAGAGGAGAAAACCGCAAAAUCACCUGGGGCAGUGCGGGCGGGGCAUCAAGGCCACUGUGGCCUUAGGGCAGAUAUUUUUUUCAAGGGCACAGGGCCAAAUUGGGAGGCCACAAGAGCCAUGGCCCUCGUGGCCCUCGUGAAAUUCCUGCCCUGGUCAGACAGCUAUAUGCUACUCAUCUGAGGAAGCAAAUAGCCCUGGCGGAUGUCAAGCUCCAGUGUGAGAAGAGAAAGCUGCAGGACAUGGAGCCUGACAGAAAAAUUAAAAGGAAAAACCUUAAGGAAACUGGACUUGCAAAUUAAGAAACUACAGAAAGAACUCAAAGCAGACAGUGACUGAUUUUAGUAUUUUUCAUUUAAAUAAAAUGAGGUCAAAGAAUAUUGUGGUUUCAUGUUUUCAUUCAUUGAUGUAAAGUACACUGGAGUUUUUGGUCCAGUUAACUGGGAAUAUAAUUUGGGAAGGUCAUACAGUUAUGAAACCUAAUAACCACUAAUUGUAUUAAUGCCAAAUACACUUACUUGUAUGUUUAUUCCAACAAUUAUUCCUUUUAGUGGUAAGGAUAUGUGCAUGUGAAAGUAUGCUUGGGCUAUGACAAAAAUAAUGUUUUAAAUGUUAAAUGUUUUUUUUUUAUUAUUGUAGGCUUAAUGUAUUUUGUUCAAAAUUGAGGCAAACACGUACAUAAGAACAUGAAAUGACGGUAACCACAUUGAUUUCCGAUUGCAGUGACAGCUGACUGGACAGAUAAUGCACCAGGCUAAACUAAGCCUGGUUGUUAGCCUGGUCGGGAUCAGGCUAAGUGCACAGAAUAAAUCUCCAUGGCAACAUAUGUGCCUCUGCUUUCGAACAACCGAAUCAACGCUAAAUUAAGCCAGGAUAACCAACAUAUCCCGACUUAAUCCCUUAUCUAGGUUUCGAACAACAGGCCCCAGGACUUAUAGUGUUCAUAGCUGGUGUUUGAUCCCUCCAUGCCUCGGUGCCUUCUCUGAUGCUUAGACGGACAUAGAGAUGGUUUUGCUUGUCCACGUAGUCAGAAUUGUAGCUGGAGUUCAUCUUUUCCUUUUUUUCCUUGAUGUUUUAUCUCUGAUGCGUAUACUUGAAAACUUCCGGCAGCCAGUUAGCAGAGUCAGCAGCAGGAGAGUUCACAAAGUAAUGAGCUGAUUUCCUUACCCUAAUGAGUGACUGAAAGUUGUAUAUUCCUGUCAUUGUCCAAUAUUAAUCACAAAAAGUAUAGCUAAUAUUUGUAAAUAACUUAAUUAGCAUAUGUUAGCAUAAAUUUUGCAGAUCUGACAGAGUGGCGUUCAGAUAGGUCCACGCCUAAUAACAAAAUUAUUAUAUACAGUAAAUGAUUAGCUGGUACAAAGAACCCUAGUAUUUGCAAAAAAACCAAAUCCCUAUUAAUCCUUAUUUGACGCGCAGCAGCAGCCCGUACUGUUCUGUGUCAUGAUUUUUGUGACAUCAAGCAGAAUAGCCACUGUACCACUCACUCAGCCUUGUCUGUACAGAUUUACUUGUGACUUUGACUCUGAAUAGAUCAUGCUUGUAUGUCUAUGGUAUGAAACACUUAUUGCAAACACACAGGUGUCUUGCUGUUAAAAUGUGUCUCUUCUGAUAUAUGCCAUAUCUGCAUUGUGUUAUAGUGGGGUUGGCUGGUGUUUGCUUUGGAGUGGUGUGUGUUUGUGUGUAACCACAAUGCCAGAGGUGACCAGUGGAAGAGCAGUUUCAUCACCAGCCCUCAACUCAUACAAGCUAUCAUGGCAAACGGGUUUCGAACACCUCUCGGCACGUGGGUGGUGAGCGGAUUGCACGGCCUCCCCCUGUGGCUGUAUGGGUGCCAGUGGGGUUUACUCACUCACUGGCUGUUUGUACCUCCAUGGAUCCAGGCUCUGGGGACCCUGCUGCUGACUGCAGGCCGCCUGCUGGCUCUAUCAGUGGAGAUAUGGUGCAUAUGGACACACAUUGAAUACCUCACCAAUGAGGAGACACAGGAGGCAAAGAAUUGAAAGGCACUCAGCACAGUCAACUUCUACUGUACAUCUACGCUGGGGCAGCAGUAGCUCAGUCCAUAGGGACUUGGGUUGGGAACCGGAGGGUCGCCUGUUCAAGUCCCCAUCCGGACCAAAAUAUGGAGCGUGGACUGGUAGCUGGAGAGGUGUCAGUUCACCUCCUGGGCACUGCCGAGGUGCCCCUGAGCAAGGCACCGAACCCCCCAACCGCUCGGAGCGCCUGUCAUGGGCAACCCACUCUGACAUCUCUCCACUUAGUGCAUGUAUAGGUCCCGUUUGUGCGUGUGUGUUCGGACCUGUGUUUAAUUGACAAACAGAGUGAAAAAUUGAAUUUCCCCUCGGGGAUUAAUAAAGUAUAUUAAAUUAUUUACACCUGCCCACUGCUGCUAAACAUAACAAGGUGUGUGCAAAUGUUUGAGAAUGUUGAAGAGUGUUGAGAGUCUGAGCUGAAGCAACUACAACAGUAUAUGACUUUACUUUUUCUGCUAUGGAACCUCAUACCUUUGGUUUAUUCUCAGUUUGACUUCAGCAAAAGGCUCACUUUGGGUUAGAAAAAAAUUCAGAAACUAUUUCUAUGAUAAAAUAAACCAAUAAAUGCAAAGAUACAACAUCACUACAAAACAAGGCUGGGCAGCAAGGGUUAGUAACAAGACUUUCAUGUGAUGGCAUUAAUGUUUGACUGGUGGGAAAUAGUUGACUUAAAUGACCUAAAUGGAAUUAGUUAUAUAAGCGUUUUUCCUUUGAAAGAUAUUUUUUAUUUCUAGAUGUGUUGACUGUUAAAAAGGCUAAGCUGUGCCUUUAUUUGAUUCUGAGCAAAAUAUUUUUUAUUAAAGGGAUACUUUGAUGAAUUUUAAGCAGUUUUGUAUCUUAACAAUGUGGAUAGUGUGUGUUCAUGAACUGUGGUAAAAUUUCAUCUUGCCAACACUGCUCAUCUCUCAGCUCAAUUACACGCGAUAAUGCGGCACAUUUUCACUGGCUUUUGGGUGUAGCUAUUCUAAACCUUUUUAUAGUGUUUCAAAUCAGAUUAAACAGUAUAGUAUAGUCUAGUAGUACAUGACAGUAUAUAAGGACAAUUUGUCAUCCAUCCAUCCAUCCUCUUAAUAGGAGGCACCCGAUCAGAUGCCCAAACCACCUCAACCGGUCGGUUUCGACGCAAAGGGCCAGCAGCUCUACUCCGAACUCCUGCCGGAUGUCUGAGCUCCUCACCCUAUCUCUAAGGCUGAGCCCAGACACCCUUCUGAGGAAACUCAUUUCGGCCGCUUGUAUCCACAAUCUCAUUCUUUUGGUCAUUACCCAAAGCUCAUAACCACAGGUGAGGGUUGGGACGUAGAUGGACCGGUAAAUAGAGAGCUUCGCCUUCUGGCCCAGCUCCCUCUUCACCACGACAGUCCUGGCUCUUCUGCUGUUUGUCUGUUUUACUGAUGUAGCAAUUACAGUAUUGGACUCAACAAUUCAUAAUUAAUUCCAAAAUAUGUAACUAUAAAUCAUAACUCAAGAUUAUGCCUCAGAAACACAUGAACUGACAUAACAAAGGAGCCUGAUGGAACUCAACUUCAACAAUGAGUUUUAUAUUAAAUAACAGAAAUCAAAUCCUUGGAGCAGCACCACCCAUUAAAAAACAGAGGUUUAUAGCCAAUUAGCCUAUUAAUAAAUUUAGUAUCACAAACUGAAGGCUGCUACAGAGUUCUUUUCCUGAUGUACAGUUGACCCAACAUAUACACCCACACAAAUCAAAAGAUCAGUUUUCUUUAUAAAUGAAAUAUUUAUUGAACGAGUAACUACAAACUUAAAAAAAAAAACCUAAACAGUUUAUUUUACAAUUGCAGGGAAGUUACCUGGCUGCAUUUACUGAUGUCUUGCAAUAAAAUGCUGAGAGACAAGUUUCAAGAGGUGUGAUCUUUUGUUCACCACUAAAACAACACAGACCCGAACACAUUGAGGAAUUGUACUGGUGAAACAGGAACAGGCAUCACCUAAACUGCUGCCACAACGUUGGUUGGGUACAACACUAAAGUAUCAUUGUAUGUUCCAGGGGCACUGCCAGGAAUUUUGGGCCCCAUGAAAAAAAAAUCACAUUGGGCACCCCCUGCGCAACUGUUGUGUCUAGGACCUAAGUGACCCAUUAAAAGCUUUAUAUAACUCUAACUUGCAACUGUCUUGCUCCUUGUAGUUCACUACUACCAGUACAAUAUUUACUGCUUGUGAGUUGUACAUGCAACAGUCUGCAUACAGUAUGCAAUUCACUAUUUGAUGCGAGAUUAAAAGCAGCCAUAAAAAAUGUGUUAAAGUCCAUCUUUU